rnacentral:rRNA from 1 species
CCUACGGGAGGCUGCAGUAGGGAAUCUUCCACAAUGGGCGAAAGCCUGAUGGAGCAACGCCGCGUGGGUGAAGAAGGUCUUCGGAUCGUAAAACCCUGUUGUUAGAGAAGAAAGUGCGUGAGAGUAACUGUUCACGUUUCGACGGUAUCUAACCAGAACGCCACGGCUAACUACGUGCCAGCAGCCGCUGUAAUACGUAGGGGGCAAGCGUUAUCCGGAUUUAUUGGGCGUAAAGGGAACGCAGGCGGUCUUUUAGGUCUGAUGUGAAAGCCUUCGGCUUAAGCGGGGUAGUGCAGUGGGAACUGGGAGACGUGAGUGCAGAAGAGGGGAGUGGA